AGAUAGUUUUAUUCUUGCUGUAGCGUUCGUUUUUUGCUUGUCUUAUAUGUGAGUUUUUGCGUGAUUGCUUUUCUGACUUCUAGAUGGGGCCAGUUUUAUUAUUAUUUUGUUUGCAAUAAUUAUUUUUAUUACAUUGAGGUUACUCGGAUUUAGCAAUGAUUUUUAGUGUCGGCAAAAUUUGUGCCAGCAGCCGCGGUUAUACAUGGGAUGCGUAUGAAUGUUUUUGGUUGGUAGUUCUAUUUAAAAUUUACUUGGGUUUGUCAUUUUUGUUUUUUGGUGAAAUUUAAAUUUUUUGGUUAUUCCCUAUUGUAUUUGUUUGUAGGCUAUGAAGUCUUUUUUAUAGACUAGGAUUAGAUACCCUAUUAUUUUUGAUGUUAAUUUUUUUGACCUGAGUAGUAUUAGUUAUGUUCUUGAAACUUAAAGAAUUUGGCGGUAUUUCAUUCUGUUCAGAGGAAUCUGCCUCGUUAUCGAUAAUCCGCGUUGGACCUUGCUUGAUUUAAUUUGUUUGUAUACCGCCGUUAUAAUGAGUAUCCUUGUAGGGCUUUUUAAUUUUCUUAUUCUAUGAUUUUGGUUUAUUUCAGGUCAAGGUGCAGCUUAUGGUCAAGUGUUUGGUGGAUUACAUUUAUUAAUUUAUUAUCGGAUCACUUGUUGUAAUUCUGGUGUGAAGUUGGAUUUGAUUGUAACUUAAUUAAAGUUUGUUUUGGUGAUUUAUGUUUUGAAAUAUGCACACAUCGCCCGUCGCUCUCGUUAUUUUAGGCGAGAUAAGUCGUAACAAAGUGGUCGUACCGGAAGGUGUGGCUAGAAUGAUAU
rnacentral:ncRNA from 1 species